rnacentral:rRNA from 1 species
UGGGGAAUCUUGGACAAUGGGCGCAAGCCUGAUCCAGCCAUGCCGCGUGAGUGAAGAAGGCCCUAGGGUCGUAAAGCUCUUUCAACUGUGAAGAUAAUGACGGUAGCAGUAGAAGAAACCCCGGCUAACUCCGUGCCAGCAGCCGCGGUAAUACGGAGGGGGUUAGCGUUGUUCGGAAUUACUGGGCGUAAAGCGUACGUAGGCGGAUUAGUCAGUCAGAGGUGAAAUCCCAGGGCUCAACCCUGGAACUGCCUUUGAUACUGCUAGUCUUGAGUUCGAGAGAGGUGAGUGGAAUUCCAAGUGUAGAGGUGAAAUUCGUAGAUAUUUGGAGGAACACCAGUGGCGAAGGCGGCUCACUGGCUCGAUACUGACGCUGAGGUACGAAAGUGUGGGGAGCAAACAGGAUUAGAUACCCCCGUAGUCC